rnacentral:rRNA from 1 species
UUGAUCCUGGCUCAGGACGAACGCUGGCGGCGUGGUUUAGGCAUGCAAGUCGAACGCGAAAGAUUACUUCGGUAAAUUGAGUAGAGUGGCGAACGGGUGAGUAAUACGUACGAAUCUACCUUAAAGACAGGGAUAGUCCCGGGAAACUGGGUUUAAUACCUGAUGGUAUCCGGCUUUGCCGGAUUAAAGACGGCCUCUAUUUAUAAGCUGUUACUUUUAGAUGAGCGUGCGCUCCAUUAGUUAGUUGGUAAGGUAAGAGCUUACCAAGGCGAUGAUGGAUAGGCGUCCUUAACGGGUGGUCGCCCACACUGGGAUUGAGAUACGGCCCAGACUCCUACGGGAGGCAGCAGUCGAGAAUCGUCUACAAUGAACGCAAGUUUGAUAGUGCGACGCCGCGUGAAUGAAGAAGCAUUUCGGUGUGUAAAAUUCUUUUAUAUAAGAACAGUGCAUGUAUGGUGAAUAAUUAUACGUGAGAGAUAGUACUAUAUGAAUAAGCUCCGGCUAACUUCGUGCCAGCAGCCGCGGUAAUACGAAGGGAGCAAGCGUUGUCCGGAAUUACUAGGUGUAAAGGGUAAGUAGGCGGAAAUUUAAGUCUCCGGUUAAAUCUUCGGGCUCAACCCGAAAUCUGCCUGAGAUACUGGAUUUCUAGAGUAAAGCAGAUGAAGGCGGAAUUCCUGGAGUAGCGGUGGAAUGCGUAGAUAUCAGGAAGAACACCCAUAGCGAAGGCAGCUUUCAAUGCUAUUACUGACGCUCAAUUACGAAGGUGCGGGUAUCGAACAGGAUUAGAUACCCUGGUAGUCCGCACAGUAAACGAUAUGUACUUGAUAUCGGAUGUCGAAAAUUCAGUGUCGUAAGCUAAACGCGUUAAGUACAUCACCUGGGGACUAACGGCCGCA